UACGAAGGGUGCAAACGUUGCUCGGAAUUAUUGGGCGUAAAGCGCACGUAGGCGGCUUUGCAAGUCCCAUGUGAAAUCCCACGGCUCAACCGUGGAAGUGCAUGGGAAACUGCUGAGCUUGAGUACUUAAGAGGAUCGCGGAAUUCCCGGUGUAGAGGUGAAAUUCGUAGAUAUCGGGAGGAACACCAGUGGCGAAGGCGGCGAUCUGGGAAGAUACUGACGCUGAGGUGCGAAAGCGUGGGGAGCAAACAGG
rnacentral:rRNA from 1 species